GACGAGCGCUGGCGGCGUGGAUUAGGCAUGCAAGUCGAACGGUAGGAUACCUUCGGGUAUCUGAGAGUGGCGAACGGGUGAGUAACACGUAGGUGAUCUACCCUCAAGAUUGGGACAACCCAGGGAAACUUGGGCUAAUACCGGAUGAAAGCAGCAGCGAUGUUGUUUGAAAGGUGGCGUAAGCUGCCGUUUGGGGAUGAGCCUGCGCUCUAUUAGUUAGUUGGCGGGGUAAAGGCCCACCAAGGCGAUGAUAGAUAGGCGGCCUUAACGGGUGGUCGCCCACACUGGGAUUGAGAUACGGCCCAGACUCCUACGGGAGGCAGCAGUCGAGAAUAGUCUACAAUGGCCGAAAGGCUGAUAGUGCGACGCCGCGUGAACGAAGAAGCCCUUCGGGGUGUAAGUUCUUUUAUAUGUGAGCAGUGCUUUCUAUGUGAACAGCAUAGGGAGAGAGAUAUUAGCAUAUGAAUAAGCAACGGCUAACUCCGUGCC
rnacentral:rRNA from 1 species